rnacentral:tRNA from 1 species
GGCCAGUUAGCUCAUUCAGUUGAGCAUGGCGCUAACAGCGCCAAGGUCGUGGGUUUGAUUCCCGUUCGGUCCC